GGCGCUAUAGCCAAGUGGUUACGGCGACAGAUUAGAAUGAUAGAUAAUCUGUUCCUCUUUGAGGGCGCAGGUUCGAAUCCUGCUGGCGUCG